rnacentral:rRNA from 1 species
UACGUAGGGUGCAAGCGUUAAUCGGAAUUACUGGGCGUAAAGCGUGCGCAGGCGGUUUUGUAAGUCUGUCGUGAAAGCCCCGGGCUCAACCUGGGAAUUGCGAUGGAGACUGCAAGGCUUGAAUCUGGCAGAGGGGGGGUAGAAUUCCACGUGUAGCAGUGAAAUGCGUAGAGAUGUGGAGGAACACCGAUGGCGAAGGCAGCCCCCUGGGAUAACACUGACGCUCAUGCACGAAAGCGUGGGGAGCAAACAGG